rnacentral:rRNA from 1 species
CCUACGGGAGGCAGCAGUGGGGAAUAUUGCACAAUGGGGGAAACCCUGAUGCAGCGAAGCCGCGUGAGUGAAGAAGGAUUUCGGUAUGUAAAGCUUUAUCAGCAGGGAAGAAAAUGACGGUACCUGAUGAAGAAGCCGCGGCUAACUACGUGACAGCAGCCGCGGUAAUACGUAGGGGGCAAGCGUUAUCCGGAUUUACUGGGCGUAAAGGGAGCGUAGACGGCAGCACAAGUCUGGAGGGAAAUGCCGGGGCUUAACCCCGGAACUGCCUUGGAAACUGGGGAGCUAGAGUGCAGGAGAGGUAAGUGGAAUGCCUGGUGUAGCGGUGAAAUGCGUAGAUAUUAGGAGGAACACCAGUGGCGAAGGCGGCUUACUGGACUGUAACUGACGUUGAGGCUCGAAAGCGUGGGGAGCAAACAGGAUUAGAUACCCCAGUAGUC